AUGCUCUGGCUUCUCUUCAUCAAUCGUGCUAAUCUUUCGCCUUUUACUAAAGAUUACCGUGGAGAGGAGCAUCCUAAUGAGCUUAAGCUAAUUUUUGGAAUCCCACAUCGUGGGAU
rnacentral:snRNA from 1 species